GCGGGAUUGAAAUUUGAAACAAGUUGGUCAUGAUUUCAAAAUUUGAACUGUCAACGCAAUCAAUGAAAAAACACAAAAUUGAGUCUUGUUUGUAAACUAAAUUCCUGGAAUUUGAGAAUGAGUUUCCACAAACGAACUUGUUUUGCUGUGGUGGGCUUCCCAUUUAAAUCUGGGCCUCUCUUUCGGUUUCCGCGUCCGAAAAAAGAGUCACUUUUUGCCAGACUAAAUUAAGAGCUCCAGUGUGUUCAAAAGUCUGUUCCCCAACUCAUUGCGUUCUGUUAAUAUUUGUCAAGAAAGAUACACGUAAGAAUAUAACAGUGAGGAGUUGCGGAAACAUGCGUCGUCGGUGUCGGUACCAAAAGUGGGAUUUUAAAACUUAGGUUUUAAUUCUUAAUUUUCUCAACCCAUAACAUUCUUCAGAUCAGAUGAAAAUUGAUUUUUCACCAGAAGUUAGCAAUCCCACUAUUGAUCUGUCUUUUUCCACAACACAAAAA